rnacentral:lncRNA from 1 species
AAUAGACGUCGCGAAGGCUAAAUAUUGCGUCAUUGCCUGUUGCAGAAAAUCAUAACGAAGGAUUCUGUUUCCUUCCUUAAUAUCAAUAUGUUUGAUUAAAUAAUUAGAGAUAAAAUGGAUCAAUCCAUGCGUCAUAAUUCUGAAAGCGAAGUUGAUAUAAUUGAAAAUAAACAACCUUUGAAAAGAUUGCAAAUUGCUUUACAUAGAAUCGUUAAAGUUUCGAUUCCGUUACAUCUCGAUUUGCUCAGUAAACACAAAGAAAACAUUGAAAAGGAGGAUAUGUGGUUUCUUCAAGACGGAGCACCAGCACAUAACAGUGGCCAUGUUGUCCUG